GGAGUGCCCAGGAUCAUUCAACCUAUGUCAUUUAACAAUUUGCUUUUUCCUAUUAGUCCUCGCUAGUCGCUAGGCGGCACGCUAGUUGAAAGUCUGAAAACCUCCAUCUGGGAAAUUCUAGAGUUUAUUCUGCAAGUCGGUAAAAGCUAGGGUUUUGCCAGCUCUUGCACACUUGGCUUCUGGGUCAGUUUCUCUCUUUUAUGUUUCCUUCUGUAUAGUUUUCUUCUUUCGUACAUUGUUAUUUCAUUUUACUAAGGAAAAGCAAAAGCUUUGAUAUUUUUGUGCAAUAUAUUUCUAUCGUAAGUUUUGAGGUUGCAAGAAAGCUCAUUUAUUUGAAUAUAGCAAAUAGCAUGCUUCAAAUGCCUGUAGUUUGAACAUGUGAACCAUUCUGGUGAAUCAAUCAACACACAUUACAAUAAUUGGUUCUUCACCUUUCUUGUAUAGCCUUUUAACUAACUCAUCACAUGAUUAAAUGAAUAGCUGAAACUAGAUACCCAGCUAAUCAGCGGCUAACUUCCUAGCUAUUAAUUCUCAUCUUAUGUUAUUAUUUUCCAGCAUAGCGAUAAGCUUGUUGAAAGCUGCAUCCACUGGAUUGUACAUUUGAUUGCUAGCUAUACCUUAUUUAAUUUGCAGUUGAGAGGGCAUUCCAUUUGCAAACGUCAAUGGGUUUUGCUUGGACAGACUAUUUGGUCUUACUGAAUUCCACAUAUUGGCACUCAUUGUCAAGCGAUGCCUAUGGGAAAGCUUAUUUUUAUAUGUCAAUCAGGUGGGAAGUUUACCUCAGCUAGUGAUGGCUCCUUGUUGUACACAGGCGGAGAUGCUUAUGCUCUCAGUGUAAACCAUGAAAGUAAAUUUCAUGGCAGAGAUGUGGAAUUAUGAUCUUACUUCCUUGACCAUCAAAUACUUGCUACCCAAUAGCAAGCAGACUCUUAUCACCAAAUCUAGUGACGAAGACAUCCAUCGCAUGAUUGAUUUCCAUGAAGAUUCCAAAACUGUUGAUGUAUUUGUUAUGACAAAUGAAAACUUGGAAUGUGAGGCCUUAGUUAUGCCUUGUAGUAGGUAGUGUACUUAUCUUCUCUAAUGUUGAUGGGAAUUUUCAUUGUUUUUGCUGUGUUGAAUGGAUCAGCUGACUUAUGGUUACCGGUUGAUCUUAAGAAUCUUGGAAGGAUUUUAGUGCCAACUGGGUCCCACUUUUGAGAUUCUACUGUAACCUUGAAUACAGGUGACCAUGGGUUUAUUGUGUCAAAAUCCAUUUCACUGUGUGUCCUUGCAUAUUACCUAAAUAUCUUAUGCAUGCUUGUUCUUGCAUGUCCAGUGGCAAUAUGAUGAUUGAACUUGUCACCUUUCCAAUAUUGCUCCUGUUGCUUGCUUC
rnacentral:misc_RNA from 1 species